rnacentral:rRNA from 1 species
UACGUAGGGGGCAAGCGUUGUCCGGAAUCAUUGGGCGUAAAGAGCGUGUAGGCGGCUCGGUAAGUCCGCUCUGAAAGCCCGGGGCUCAACCCCGGGAGGCGGGCGGAUACUGUCGGGCUAGAGUCCGGAAGAGGCGAGUGGAAUUCCUGGUGUAGCGGUGAAAUGCGCAGAUAUCAGGAGGAGCACCAAUGGCGAAGGCAGCUCGCUGGGACGGUACUGACGCUGAGACGCGAAAGCGUGGGGAGCAAACAGG